rnacentral:lncRNA from 1 species
GGGUCGGUAGGGCUUGGAGCCAGCCGUUCAAAGUCACCCCUGGGAAGCGCCCGCAACCCUUGGGGACGCCUCUCCUCCGGCUGCCCCCCUUCCCUGGAAUCCAGGUGUCACUGGGGCCGGGGAGGGGCUAGGAGCUCGGAUUUCUGCUUUGGGAAGUUUUUACAAGCCCACCCUCCCCCUGCCUUGGUUCCCCGAGCCAAGAAUUUCAGAAAUCCGGGGCACAAAAACGCCAGUGUUUGCGGUCAAGGAUUAAAGGCGCGAGGUGUCUUUAUUUAAUCUGCUCCGCCCUGCUCGGGUUUGCACGAGAAACCAAGCCUGGGAGCGACGGUCCACGCAAGCGGAGACACAGGUGCACAAUCCAGGGCUCAGAGAAAUCAGAAACAAUGGAAUAUUAACAGCGGUUUUCUGAAGAUCCAGUUGGACAAUUUUCAUUUUCAUCAUAUAAUGGACAUUUAUCUCCUACCUGCAUUAUCCACUGUCUUCCCUCGGAGACCACAAAUUUCACUGAAGGCAGCAUCUAUGUCUUAUUCAUGCUUGUGCUCUCUACCUCCCCUGACCCAGAAGGACUUAUUCUUCUUUCUGCACAUUUUAGUAGAUGUGUUAAAAAAAAAAAAAAAAAGUUUGUUAAGAAGAUGUUUUAAUGGAAGGUGUGUCAGGCAUAUGGCAGGAUACAUGACCAUAUUUUUGGAGCAUGCAACACCUCGUAGCCCAUCUCUAUCAUAGCCUAUUUUCUCCGCCUGUAUGUAUGGAUAAUCCUAUUCAACAUUUUUAAGGUCUAGAAGCUGCUAGGUCACUAGAAAGUAAUUUUGCUAUGAUGUGAAGAGGUUCUCUAUGAUGAUGUAUGACUGAUAAAUUAUGAUGAUUAAUGUCAGAAUAUAAGGGUCACUGCCUAACUCAUUCUCUGUUAUCAGUAGAGGGAAAGGAGCUGCUUUCUCUUCACUAUUUUUUUCUAGAAGAAUUUUCUAUCCCUGUGUUUUCCAGUAUAGUGACUACUAGCCAUUUAGGCACGUAAGAUGUGGCUAGUUCUGAGAUGUGAAAUAGAUGUUAACACAUUGAAUUUCAAAGACUUAGUACAAAAAAAAGCAAAAUAUCUUAAUUUGUAUAGUGAUUACAUGUUGAAGUGGUAAUAUUUUGGAUAUUUGUGUUAA